rnacentral:ncRNA from 2 species
UAUGCUGGCUAAGCGAUCGGUUCUGGGGAAGGUCAUCCCCCAGAAGUAAUGGGGAAAGAGCAGUGCAAAUCUGCCGCUGUCCCGCAACUGUGAUGAGAGAAGUUUCUCUCUAAGUCAGAAUGCCCGCCGCUGUCGCCGUCGGAUU